GAAGCUGGCCAGACAGUCGCUGCGCAUGCAAGUGCGGAGAGGAAAGUCCGGGCUCCACAGAGCAGAAUGCCGGUUAACGACCGGACACCGUGAGGUGAUGAACAGUGCCACAGAAAAUAUACCGCCGAUGGCCGCGCAAGCGGAUCAGGUAAGGGCGAACCGGUGCGGUAAGAGCGCACCGCACUCCCGGUAACGGGAGCGGCACGGUAAACUCCAUUCGGAGCAAGACCAAAUAAGCAGGCUAUGACGUUGCUCGCGUCGUCUGCGGGUAGGUUGCUCGAGCGUCAGGUAACGAAACGCCUAGAGGAAUGACUGUCCACGACAGAACCCGGCUUAUCGGCCAGCUUCACUU
rnacentral:RNase_P_RNA from 2 species